rnacentral:rRNA from 1 species
UACGGAGGGGGCGAGCGUUAUUCGGAAUUAUUGGGCGUAAAGGGCGCGUAGGCGGCUGUACAAGUCAAAGGUGAAAUCCCUCGGCUCAACUGAGGAACUGCCUUUGAAACUGUACGGCUUGAGGCCGGGAGGGGGUAGCGGAAUUCCCAGUGUAGCGGUGAAAUGCGUAGAUACUGGGAGGAACACCAGUGGCGAAGGCGGCUUCCUGGACCGGUACUGACGCUGAGGCGCGAAAGCGUGGGUAGCAAACAGG